CUAUUAAUAACCCCAAAAGCACUUUAUACAAAUAAACAAACCAUUUUUCCCCCUAAGUAUGGGCGAUAGAAAAGGAACACUCAGAGCUAUAAUAAAAGUACCGCAAGGGAAUGCUGAAAAAGAAAUGAAACAAACCAGUAAAGUUUAAAAAAGCAGAGAUUUACACUCGUACCUUUUGCAUCAUAAUUUAGUUAGUAAGCCACAAGCAAAAAGCAUUUUAGUUUGGCUCCCCGAAACUAAGUGAGUUACUCCAAGACAGUCUAAAAUAGGACUAACCCGUCUCUGUAGCAAAAGAGUGGGGUGAGCUUAGAGUAGAGGUGAUAAACCUACCAAACUUAGUUAUAGCUGGUUGCCUGAGAAAUGAAUAGAAGUUCAGCUUUUUGGUUUCUUUUCUCAACUUGAUUAGCUACCAUCGAAUCAAAGAAGCCAAAAAAGUUAAUUAAAGGAGGUACAGCUCCUUUAAACAAGAUACAACUUCAUCAGCUGGGUAAAGUUCACAUACAAUCAAGGCAAAAUGUUUUAGUGGGCCUAAAAGCAGCCACCUGUAAGAAAGCGUCAAAGCUCCUUCAUGCCGCCACCCUCAAAUUCAGAUAAUAUCCCCUAAACCCGCUAAUUUUAUCAAGCCGCCCCAUGUUACCAUGGGGGCGAUCAUGCUAAAAUGAGUAAUAAGAAAAGUCACCUUUUCUCCCUGCACUCGUGUAAAUCGAAACGGACCCCCCAUCGAACAUUAUCGGCCCCAAAAAAAGAGGGUAAUGAACCACCAACCUAGACAACAAGAAAGCCCACCAAAUAUUGACCGUUAACCUCACACAAUGUGCCCACAAGGAAAGACUAAAAGAAAAAGAAGGAACUCGGCAAAUACAAGCCUCGCCUGUUUACCAAAAACAUCGCCUCUUGAAAACUAAACAUAAGAGGUCC
rnacentral:rRNA from 1 species